rnacentral:lncRNA from 1 species
UUAAAGGCAGGCCACUCCAUCAAAUUCCUAUCAAUGCGGUUUUCACAAAAUUCCGAGGAUACUACCAAUCCUAAGGUAAUCAAGCUUUUACUUUAUGAGUCUAUUUUGUUUGAUCAAAAUCAUUGUAUAAAUAAUAAUUGCAUAAAUAAUUUUCUACUUGGUUUUUUUAUAGUAGACAGUAGGUAUAUCGCCAUAUACUUCGACGGCAGUGUAGUUUUAUUCCUCCUUAAUCUAUUCCCUAAUUUUCACUUUCUCAUUCGCCAUCAAAUUAUUAUCCAACAAACACAAUGAAGAAUCCCUUCCUCACUUAAAACAUUUGAAAGCCGACCUCCAUUUGUCUUCUAAGCGAAGGAAAUUUUUCGAUGUACCCAAAAUACUCAAUAUAAAACUUCCAUUCUCAAGAUAGCAUUUAAAUAUGAAGUUGAGUAUAUUUUAAUUUUUCAGUUGAGUAUAGGAAGACCCUUUCAGAGUUGAAUAUCAGACAUUUUUUGUUAGCUUUAAAGGACAUUUUCAUGCAAUUGCCUAAUUUAUUUAUUUUUCAGAAAAAUCUCAUAAGGAAGAUAACCUUAAAUGUUAAGUUUGCCAGCAUCAUUAUUUCUAAUGAGCUGGGUUGUGCUCAUUCUAAAAUUGAAAUUUUUAUGAUUUGGAAGUACCAAAGUAGGUUAGUGUUGAUGAUUAUUGUUUAUAACUAGGUCUUGAGAUUACUGAUAAAUUUACAUAUUAAGCCUUACAAUGGUGGAUUAGUUUAGAUAUUAAUUACAUAUUUUAUGAUAUACAUGAAACUGCUUACAUACAAGGUAUAAUUGAAGAAGAUUGUGAAGAAGGUAUAUUAGACUUUUUGUAUUGGCUUAUCUAUAGAUUUCUGUAGAUAAGCUUCAAUUGUAUUGGCUUCUACAUAUACUAGAACUUUGUCAAACUAGGUAAAGUUUUUUUGUAAAACUGUCUUUGGUUUUAUUAAAUAGAUGUGUAUAUAUGUACUUCAAAACAGGUUAGAUAUAUGAGAAGAAGACACAGAGUUAUGAAACCUACUCCUGAUGAUAAUUUAUAAGCAAAAUUUGGACAUCUUGACUUGAUAGUUCCUUAGGUGGCCAUUGUAAAUUAGUACUCAAAUGACUUGGACAGUUUGAAUGCAGUUCUUUUUUUUUUUUUUUUCUUAUUUAAAAAUCGAAAAUAUUAUAUGUAAUACCAUGAACUUGAUUGAUGUUGUCUUGGUGCAUCUUUUGGAAGCCAAUCUGUUAUGAUAUCCGCAUACAAUAGGAAUCCAUUGAUAAAAAUGCCAAUUACAAAAAUUAAGGUCUUCAUAUGUUGAAUAUUUAUCCAGGUUGAAACUGGGGAUGUGAAAAACCACUUGGUGAACCAUUUUGAGUGAAUGGCAUACCGGCCAAUGAAUAUCUAGCCAUUUGAUUAUGUUCGAUAAAACACUGAUAUAGGAGAGAUAGAAGACAGGCAGGUUUAACGGUAUGGGAUGUCAAAAACGUGGUUGCUAUGAAAUAUUUGCAAGGUUGUCAUUUCUGAAGGUAUUUAUUUUAAAUUGAAAUUAUCAUACUAUGAUGGUGAGAUUGUUGAAUGUGUUAAUAUGAUAUCAUGAUUAAUAUCUAAUAAAAUUUUGAAUGUUUCAAUUUUUUCUUAUCACGAGAAAAACGUAUCGACACUAAGAAACUCUUCAUUGCUAUAGGUGUUUUUUCAUAGAAUUAUAAAUGUUCCUUAUUUGAAAUCACCCUACAUAUUUUCGAAAUUUCAAUUUUAAGUUAACUGGUUUGAUAUUGUAAACCAAGUGAGGUAUAUAGGGAGGAGAUAUCUUUACUAUCCCAUGGCAUACAAAAGAACUUUAUAUGCAUUGGAUGUCUGGCAUGCUGAGAAACUCAUAUUUGAUGAUGUUAGGAGUUGGGACAACAUUUUGGCUAAGCCAUCAAUUGCCUAAUAGUCUUCUGAUUCUAUCAUUGUCUUUUAAUAUGGAUUUGUUCCCUAUUUUUGUUGGCAGCACCUGCUCUGCCAGUACAAGU